UUCCUCUUUUUACCUUCAUCCACCGAUCAUAUGUGCUAACGUGUGUAUCUGGUCAGACUGGAGGUGUUCUUUUUGGAAAGGAGCUCUACUGACGUUCUGGGAACAGAGAAGCAAGGCAGCAAAACGAAACGCUUGGCUAGAAGGAUUGUUGCGCAAGUCUAGGAUGCAUCUUUAUCCUAAAAUUUAAGAAUACACGGAGCAGCGGACUUGGCUAUGUGGAGCAAAGGCUAGAUAAGAAUGUCACCUUUGAGACUAAAUGAAGGAAGUGCCUGAAACAAGGGGAAGAACUAAAAGUCAUAUCAGUGCAUGCAAGUUGCUAUUGGAUAGGAAUGUCUGUGGUUCCUUUUUACUGAAAAGAGCAUGGCGCAACUGCUGCUUAUAUCAUUUCACAAUGCUCACUUAGAAACAGAUGCAUUUUUAUUAACCCUUUCAGAUUUUUACAUUUUAUAGUGAUAAGACUUUAUAGCAGAUCUGUUAUAAUCAAAGUAAGCAAACAGCACAUUUGCCUAUUUUGUGUUUCCAUCUGUUUAUUGUUGUAAUUGAUGAGGGCAUUUUGAUAUGUUUUGAUUCUGUAUAAAGUAUACAAAACUGGCACAAAUGACAAAACCUCCCAUCCCAUGAGCAGAUUAACCUGUUUCUGAAAAUGUGUUUGUAAGAAAUAAAAAGCCACAUCCAA